AGUCGGACGGCAGCACAGAGAAGCUUGCUUCUUGGGUGGCGAGUGGCGAACGGGUGAGUAACAUAUCGGAACGUACCGAGCAGUGGGGGAUAACUAAUCGAAAGAUUAGCUAAUACCGCAUAUUUUCUGAGGAAGAAAGCAGGGGACCAUUUGGCCUUGCGCUGUUUGAGCGGCCGAUAUCUGAUUAGCUAGUUGGUGGGGUAAAGGCCUACCAAGGCGACGAUCAGUAGCGGGUCUGAGAGGAUGAUCCGCCACACUGGGACUGAGACACGGCCCAGACUCCUACGGGAGGCAGCAGUGGGGAAUUUUGGACAAUGGGCGCAAGCCUGAUCCAGCCAUGCCGCGUGUCUGAAGAAGGCCUUCGGGUUGUAAAGGACUUUUGUCAGGGAAGAAAAGGAUAGGGUUAAUACCCCUGUCUGAUGACGGUACCUGAAGAAUAAGCACCGGCUAA
rnacentral:rRNA from 1 species